rnacentral:rRNA from 1 species
GCCUCGGACGAAUACCAUAGGGGGUAGAGCACUGUUUCGGCUAGGGGGUCAUCCCGACUUACCAAACCGAUGCAAACUCCGAAUACCUAUGAGUACUAUCCGGGAGACAGACUGCGGGUGCUAACGUCCGUAGUCAAGAGGAAAACAAUCCAGACCGCCAGCUAAGGCCCCAAAAUCAUAGUUAAGUGGGAAACGAUGUGGGAAGGCAUAGACAGCUAGGAGGUUGGCUUAGAAGCAGCCACCCUUUAAAGAAAGCGUAAUAGCUCACUAGUCGAGUCGGCCUGCGCGGAAGAUGUAACGGGGCUAAAACUAUGUGCCGAAGCUGCGGAUGUAUACUUUGUAUACGUGGUAGGGGAGCGUUCUGUAAGCCGAUGAAGGUGUGUUGAGAAGCAUGCUGGAGGUAUCAGAAGUGCGAAUGCUGACGUGAGUAACGACAAAACGGGUGAAAAACCCGUUCGCCGAAAGACCAAGGGUUCCAGUCCAACGUUAAUCGGGGCUGGGUGAGUCGACCCCUAAGGCGAGGCCGAAAGGCGUAGUCGAUGGGAAAAUGGUUAAUAUUCCAUUACUUCUGUGUAAUGCGAUGAGAGGACGGAGAAGGCUAAAUCAGCCUGGCGUUGGUUGUCCAGGUGAAAGGAUGUAGGCAUGUAUCUUAGGCAAAUCCGGGGUACUCUAUGCUGAGAUCUGAUAGCAAGCUGUACUUGUACAGCGAAGUGGUUGAUGCCAUGCUUCCAGGAAAAGUCUCUAAGCUUCAGUUACACAGGAAUCGUACCCGAAACCGACACAGGUGGUCAGGUCGAGUAGACCAAGGCGCUUGAGAGAACUCUGCUGAAGGAACUAGGCAAAAUGGUACCGUAACUUCGGGAGAAGGUACGCUGUUGUUGGUGAUGGAACUCGCUUCCUGAGCUGACGACAGCCGCAGAAACCAGGCCGCUGCAACUGUUUAUUAAAAACAUAGCACUCUGCAAACACGAAAGUGGACGUAUAGGGUGUGAUGCCUGCCCGGUGCUGGAAGGUUAAUUGAUGGGGUUAGCGUAAGCGAAGCUCUUGAUCGAAGCCCCAGUAAACGGCGGCCGUAACUAUAACGGUCCUAAGGUAGCGAAAUUCCUUGUCGGGUAAGUUCCGACCUGCACGAAUGGCAUAAUGAUGGCGGCGCUGUCUCCAGCAGAGGCUCAGUGAAAUCGAAAUCGCUGUGAAGAUGCAGUGUACCCGCGGCUAGACGGAAAGACCCCGUGAACCUUUACUGCAGCUUGACACUGAACUUUGACCUUACUUGUGUAGGAUAGGUGGGAGGCUUUGAAGCUGGAACGCUAGUUCCAGUGGAGCCGUCCUUGAAAUACCACCCUGGUAAUGUUGAGGUUCUAACUCUGUCCCGUGAUCCGGGACGAGGACCGUGUCUGGUGGGUAGUUUGACUGGGGCGGUCUCCUCCUAAAGAGUAACGGAGGAGUACGAAGGUGCGCUCAGCGUGGUCGGAAAUCACGCGUAGAGUAUAAAGGCAAAAGCGCGCUUAACUGCGAGACCCACAAGUCGAGCAGGUACGAAAGUAGGUCUUAGUGAUCCGGUGGUUCUGUAUGGAAGGGCCAUCGCUCAACGGAUAAAAGGUACUCUGGGGAUAACAGGCUGAUACCGCCCAAGAGUUCAUAUCGACGGCGGUGUUUGGCACCUCGAUGUCGGCUCAUCUCAUCCUGGGGCUGAAGCAGGUCCCAAGGGUAUGGCUGUUCGCCAUUUAAAGAGGUACGCGAGCUGGGUUUAGAACGUCGUGAGACAGUUCGGUCCCUAUCUACCGUGGGCGCUGGAAAUUUGAGAGGAUCUGCUCCUAGUACGAGAGGACCAGAGUGGACGAACCUCUGGUGUACCGGUUGUGACGCCAGUCGCAUCGCCGGGUAGCUAUGUUCGGAAGGGAUAACCGCUGAAAGCAUCUAAGCGGGAAGCCUACCUCAAGAUAAGAUUUCCCUAGGACUUUAUGUCCUCUAAAGAGCCGUUCGAGACUAGGACGUUGAUAGGUUGGAUGUGGAAGCAUAGUGAUAUGUGAAGCUGACCAAUACUAAUUGCUCGUGAGGCUUGACUAU